GACAGAGGUGCCAAGCGUUAGGCGGAAUCACUGGGCUUAAAGCGUGUGUAGGCGGAUCGUUAAGUACCUUGUGAAAUCCCACGGCUUCAACCGUGGAACUGCUCGGUAUACUGGCGGUCUUGAGCCACCUAGGGGCAACUGGAACAGCGGUGGAGCGGUGAAAUGCGUAGAUAUCGGAAGGAACACCGGUGGCGAAAGCGGCGCGCUGGACCUCUUCUGACGCUGAGGCGCGAAAGCGUGGGGAGCAAACAGG
rnacentral:rRNA from 1 species